rnacentral:tRNA from 1 species
GGGGACGGUGAUCGGCAUAGCUGGUCUGUUGCCCAUUCUCCCCUUGCAUGGGGUGCAAGGGGUCGAGUGUUCGAAUCACUCCGUCCCGACCA